rnacentral:rRNA from 1 species
GAUGAACGCUAGCGGCAGGCCUAAUACAUGCAAGUCGAGCGGCAAGUUGAGAAGCAAUUCGAGACCUAGAGCGGCGUACGGGUGCGUAACGCGUAUGCAACCUACCUCAUACAGGGGGAUAGCCCGGAGAAAUCUGGAUUAAUACCCCAUAGUACAUAUAGAGGGCAUCUGAAAUAUGUUAAAGAUUCAUCGGUAUGAGAUGGGCAUGCGUCUGAUUAGCUAGUUGGCGGUGUAACGGACCACCAAGGCGACGAUCAGUAGGGGUUUUGAGAGGAAGGUCCCCCAGACGGGGACUGAGAUACGGGCCAGACUCCUACGGGAGGCAGCAGUAGGGAAUAUUGGGCAAUGGUCGUAAUACUGCCCCAGCCAUGCCGCGUGCAGGAAGAAGGCCCUCUGGGUUGUAAACUGCUUUUAUCUGGGAAGAAAAGGCCCGUGCGCGGGACAUUGCCGGUACCAGAUGAAUAAGCACCGGCUAACUCCGUGCCAGCAGCCGCCGUAAAAC